CAGUCGCCGCGGUAAUACGAAGGGUGCAAGCGUUAAUCGGAAUUACUGGGCGUAAGGCGUGCGUAGGCGGUGAGUUAAGUCUGCUGUGAAAUCCCCGGGCUCAACCUGGGAAUGGCAGUGGAUACUGGCUCGCUAGAGUGUGUCAGAGGAUGGUGGAAUUCCCGGUGUAGCGGUGAAAUGCGUAGAGAUCGGGAGGAACAUCAGUGGCGAAGGCGGCCAUCUGGGCCAACACUGACACUGAGACACGAAAGCGUGGGGAGCAAACAGGAUUAGAUACCCCGGUAGUCCCUGUCUCUUAUAC
rnacentral:rRNA from 1 species